rnacentral:rRNA from 1 species
CUACGGGAUGCUGCAGUGAGGAAUAUUGGUCAAUGGGCGGAAGCCUGAACCAGCCAUGCCGCGUGAAGGAUGACGGCCCUAUGGGUUGUAAACUUCUUUUAUACGGGAAGAAACACCUCUACGUGUAGAGGUUUGACGGUACCGUACGAAUAAGCAUCGGCUAACUCCGUGCCAGCAGCCGCGGUAAUACGGAGGAUGCAAGCGUUAUCCGGAUUUAUUGGGUUUAAAGGGUACGUAGGCGGAAACUUAAGUCAGUAGUGAAAUCCCGCAGCUUAACUGUGGAACUGUUAUUGAUACUGGGUUUCUUGAAUAUUGUUGAGGUAGGCGGAAUAAGUAAUGUAGCGAUGAAAUGCUUAGAUAUUACUUAGAACACCGAUUGCGAAGGCAGCUUACUAAGCAAUUAUUGACGCUGAGGUACGAAAGCGUGGGGAGCGAACAGGAUUAGAUACCCUCGUAGUC